UGUAGAAACCCAGAGAGAGAGAGAGAGAGAGAGAGAGAGAGAGAGAGAGAGAGAUGAAGAAGAAGAGCUUUGGGAUUGGAUGUUCAUGGCUUGUGUUGAUAGUGAUUGCCUCUCUCCUUUGGGCAACUCCAUCUUCAGCUGCUGCUUCAUUUCAAAGAGUGGAGCAAACUGUUUUUCCUCAAGCGGGUGCUGCUGGUUCAACAGGACCCCACUUCUCGUAUGUGGAAAGGCAUGCUGUGUUGAUGGAUGUUGUAGCUUGCCUUAAAUAAAUGCCAUGCAUCCUCAAGAAUCCCCUCAUACAUGUUCACCUCUAUAUUAACCAUAUUUCCCCCUUUUUAUCUUUAUUUUAUUUUACUUGGUCCUUCAUGCUUGUGUGCCCAAAUUAAGGUUGUUCCUUAACGAGAAAUUUGAGGGAAAUCGUUUAGCGCAAA